rnacentral:rRNA from 1 species
AUUGAACGCUGGCGGAAUGCUUUACACAUGCAAGUCGAACGGCAGCACGGGGGCAACCCUGGUGGCGAGUGGCGAACGGGUGAGUAAUACAUCGGAACGUGCCCAAUCGUGGGGGAUAACGUAGCGAAAGCUACGCUAAUACCGCAUACGAUCUACGGAUGAAAGCGGGGGAUCGCAAGACCUCGCGCGAAUGGAGCGGCCGAUGGCAGAUUAGGUAGUUGGUGGGGUAAAGGCUCACCAAGCCAACGAUCUGUAGCUGGUCUGAGAGGACGACCAGCCACACUGGGACUGAGACACGGCCCAGACUCCUACGGGAGGCAGCAGUGGGGAAUUUUGGACAAUGGGCGAAAGCCUGAUCCAGCCAUUCCGCGUGCAGGAUGAAGGCC